rnacentral:rRNA from 1 species
AUGUCCCUACGGGAGGCAGCAGUGGGGAAUAUUGCGCAAUGGGCGAAAGCCUGACGCAGCGCCGCCGCGUGAGGGAUGAAGGUCUUCGGAUCGUAAACCUCUGUCAGCAGGGAAGAAUGGUCACUGUGCUAAUCAGCAGUGAAUUGACGGUACCUGCAAAGGAAGCACCGGCUAACUCCGUGCCAGCAGCCGCGGUAAUACGGAGGGUGCGAGCGUUAAUCGGAAUUACUGGGCGUAAAGCGCUCGUAGGCGGUAUGUCAAGUCAAGGGUGCAAUC